CCUACGGGAGGCAGCAGUGAGGAAUAUUGGUCAAUGGCCGGAAGGCUGAACCAGCCAUGCCGCGUGAAGGUCAGUGCCCUAUGGGCGUUAAACUUCUUUUGUGCGGGAGCAAUAAUGGUCACGUGUGGCCAGACGAGAGUACCGUACGAAUAAGCAUCGGCUAACUCCGUGCCAGCAGCCGCGGUAAUACGGGGGAUGCAAGCGUUAUCCGGAUUUAUUGGGUUUAAAGGGUGCGUAGGCUGUGAGGUAAGUCAGCGGUGAAAUGCCCCCGCUCAACGGGGUGAAGUGCCAUUGAUACUGCCUGGCUGGAAUGCGGAUGCCGUGGGAGGAAUGUGUGGUGUAGCGGUGAAAUGCAUAGAUAUCACACAGAACACCGAUUGCGAAGGUAUCUCACGAAUCCGCGAUUGACGCUGAUGCACGAAAGCGUGGGUAUCAAACAGGAUUAGAUACCCUUGUAGUC
rnacentral:rRNA from 1 species